AACUGCGAUACGUAAUGCGAAUUGCAGAAUUCAGUGAGUCAUCGAAAUUUUGAACGCACAUUGCACUUUCGGGUUAUGCCUGGAAGUAUGCUUGUAUCAGUGUCCGUACAUCAAACUUGCCUUUCUUUUCUUGUGUAGUCAAGAUUAGAGAUGGCAGAA
rnacentral:rRNA from 1 species